GAUGAACGCUGGCGGCGUGCUUAACACAUGCAAGUCGAACGAUUGAAGCUGGAGCUUGCUCCGGCCGAUUUAGUGGCGGACGGGUGAGUAACGCGUGGGUAACCUGCCUCAUACAGGGGGAUAGCAGUUGGAAACGACUGGUAAAACCGCAUAAGCGCACGGUGUCGCAUGACACAGUGUGAAAACACUCCGGUGGUAUGAGAUGGACCCGCGUCUGAUUAGCUAGUUGGUGAGGUAACGGCCCACCAAGGCGACGAUCAGUAGCCGGCCUGAGAGGGUGAACGGCCACAUUGGGACUGAGACACGGCCCAAACUCCUACGGGAGGCAGCAGUGGGGAAUAUUGCACAAUGGGGGAAACCCUGAUGCAGCGACGCCGCGUGAGUGAUGAAGUAUUUCGGUAUGUAAAGCUCUAUCAGCAGGGAAGAUAAUGACGGUA
rnacentral:rRNA from 1 species